GAUGGCGACCGGCGCACGGGUGAGUAACGCGUAUGCAACUURCCUAUCAGAGGAGAAUAGCUCAUCGAAAGAUGAAUUAAUGCUCCAUAAAACAGGGGUCCCGCAUGGGAAUAUUUGUUAAAGAUUCAUCGCUGAUAGAUAGGCAUGCGUUCCAUUAGGCAGUUGGCGGGGUAACGGCCCACCAAACCGACGAUGGAUAGGGGUUCUGAGAGGAAGGUCCCCCACAUUGGUACUGAGACACGGACCAAACUCCUACGGGAGGCAGCAGUGAGGAAUAUUGGUCAAUGGCCGAGAGGCUGAACCAGCCAAGUCGCGUGAAGGAAGAAGGAUCUAUGGUUUGUAAACUUCUUUUAUACGGGAAUAAAGUGAGUCACGUGUGRYUUUUUGUAUGUACCGUAUGAAUAAGCAUCGGCUAACUCCGUGCCAGCAGCCGCGGUAAUACGGAGGAUGCGAGCGUUAUCCGGAUUUAUUGGGUUUAAAGGGUGCGUAGGUGGUCUUUUAAGUCAGCGGUGAAAGUUUGUGGCUCAACCAUAAAAUUGCCAUUGRAACUGGGAGACUUGAGUAUGUUUGAGGUAGGCGGAAUGCGUGGUGUAGCGGUGAAAUGCAUAGAUAUCACGAAGAACUCCGAUU
rnacentral:rRNA from 1 species